rnacentral:rRNA from 1 species
GAUGAACGCUGGCGGCGUGCUUAACACAUGCAAGUCGAACGGAGAAUUGAAGCUUGCUUUAAUUCUUAGUGGCGGACGGGUGAGUAACGCGUGGGUAACCUGCCCUUAAGUGGGGGACAACAGUUGGAAACGACUGCUAAUACCGCAUAAAGUUAAGAGUCUGCACGGACUAUUAACCAAAGGAGUAAUCCGCUUUUGGAUGGACCCGCGUCUGAUUAGCUAGUUGGUGAGGUAACGGCUCACCAAGGCGACGAUCAGUAGCCGGCCUGAGAGGGUGAUCGGCCACACUGGGACUGAGACACGGCCCAGACUCCUACGGGAGGCAGCAGUGGGGAAUCUUCCGCAAUGGACGAAAGUCUGACGGAGCAACGCCGCGUGAGGGAUGAAGGCCUUCGGGUUGUAAACCUCUGUCUUCAGGGAAGAAGAAAAUGACGGUACCUGAGGAGGAAGCCCCGGCUAACUUCGUGCCAGCAGCCGCAGUAAGAC